UAGGGAAUCUUCCACAAUGGACGCAAGUCUGAUGGAGCAACGCCGCGUGAGUGAAAAAGGUUUUCGGAUCGUAAAGCUCUGUUGUUGGUGAAGAAGGAUAGAGGUAGUAACUGGCCUUUAUUUGACGGUAAUCAACCAGAAAGUCACGGCUAACUACGUGCCAGCAGCCGCGGUAAUACGUAGGUGGCAAGCGUUGUCCGGAUUUAUUGGGCGUAAAGCGAGCGCAGGCGGAAGAAUAAGUCUGAUGUGAAAGCCCUCGGCUUAACCGAGGAACUGCAUCGGAAACUGUUUUUCUUGAGUGCAGAAGAGGAGAGUGGAAUUCCAUGUGUAACGGUGGAAUGCGUAGAUAUAUGGAAGAACACCAGUGGCGAAGGCGACUCUCUGGUCUGCAACUGACGCUGAGGCUCGAAAGCAUGGGUAGCGAACAGG
rnacentral:rRNA from 1 species